rnacentral:rRNA from 1 species
GUAGUUUGAUCAUGGCUCAGGACGAACGCUGGCGGCAUGCCUAACACAUGCAAGUCGAACGGGGAUACGAGAGCUUGCUUUUGUAUCUUAGUGGCGGACGGGCGAGUAACGCGUGAGCAACCUGCCCUUCAGGUGGGGAAUAACGUCUGGAAACGGACGCUAAUACCGCAUAACACAACGGAGCCGCAUGACUUUGUUGUCAAAGGAUUUAUUCGCUGAAGGAUGGGCUCGCGUCCGAUUAGCUAG